AUAACGGCCCUUUUCAGGGCCACAUGAUGUGCAAAUUCCGAUCACG
rfam:Lasius niger Lnig_2.1_31043, whole genome shotgun sequence.